UGUUGGUUCUCCCGCAAUGCUAAUCUGUGAACCCGGUCAGAUCCGGAAGGAAGCAGCCGUAACAGAUGACGCAUGUGCCGGGAUGUCGCUGGCAGGG
rfam:Tatumella ptyseos ATCC 33301 GTPT.assembly.045, whole genome shotgun sequence.